ensembl:lncRNA
UUUUUGGGUCAGAUUUUCAUAUUUUUAAAAUCUUUUUGUGGUGGUUUGCAUCCUAUUUUGGUCUUUUUACAUGUUUGUGGUUGUUUUGUGUCAGGUUAUGGUUAUUUCAGAUCAUUUCCUCGACUUUCUGUCUCUUUUUUGGUGUUUUUACAUCUUUUGUUGGUGUUUUCCGUCUAAUUCUGGACAUUUAAUUUUUUUUGUGGUUGUUUUGCAUCAUUUUUCUGGAAAUUUAGCAUUUUUUUGAGGUUUAUUACUUAAUAAUUUGGUUGUUUUACAUCCUUCACGUCACAUUUUGGUUGUUUUGUGUCCCAUUAUGGUUAUAUAUCGCAUCAUUUGCUUGGCUUUGUGUGUCUUUUUUGGUUGUUUUACAUGCUUUUGGUGUUGUUUAGCAUUCUAUUUUGGUCUUUUACAUCUUUUUGUGGUAGUUUUGCAUCUAGUUUUGGUCUUCUUACAUGUUGUUUUGUUUCAUUUUGGUGUUUUUACAUCUUUUUGUGGGUGUUUUCCAUCCAAUUUUGUAUGGAAAUUUAAUGUCUUUUGGAGGUUUAUUGCUUAAUAAUUUGGCUGUUUUACAUCCUUUAUGUCACAUUUUGGUAGUUUUACAUGUUUGUGGUAGUUAUGCAUCACAUUGUGGUCGUUUUAUGUCACCUGGGUCACAUUUUGAUCAUUUUUACAGAAGAGAAUCAUCUGUAAAACAUUUCUCAGGAGAUCGGUGGCAGUAAGAUGAGUGAAUGUCAAGAGACAAACAGGAGAGAGAACGAACACUAAGUAUUCCUGAUUUAAAGCAGAGUUUUGGGUAAUUUUAGAAUUUAUUGGCCAGAUUUCAUUAAUCUGUGCAGAUUUCUGUGAAUGUGAUGUUAUGUUUACUUUUAUUUCGAGGUGAAACCGAUGGUGUAAAAUGCUGGAAAAAGGCUUUGUGUGAUUUUCAAUGAGGCAAAUCCGAAGACGCCUCUGAUUCCAAGCAGCUGCUGAAAGACGCUGAUCAGCAGAAGAAGCUCAAAGAGGUUCAGGAUUUUAUGCUGCAGAGAAAAAUUAACCUACAUUCAGAUGCAUAAAGUCAGACGAGUCUCUUGAGCUGCUUCAGUCUCGACCAGCAGGAAUGUGGUCAGAAGUCGGAGUCGUCUGUGGCCGAGUUAUCGGCGGCGAGGAUUCCUGUUGGCUCUGGCGGCGGCUCGUGUCCAUCCUGCUGCUGCUGCUGCUGCUGCUCCCUCUUCUUCUUCUUGUUGUGGUUCUUGACAUGCACGCUCAACCCCCUCUCAGUCAUUUCGUAGAUCUGACACUUGGCGCAGUAGUAUGGCGACACCCCGACGUGCCGGAACUGGUCUGCGAGGUACGAUGCCAGCGUCUUGAAGCCCUUGCUGCAGACGUGGCAGCGCGGGACGACGCCCGGGUGCUCCUUCUCCAGGUGCUUCCUCAGACCCCACCUGGAGCCACUGAACGCCUCCAGACCGCCGGCCGGGCACACGUGGCAAGUGAAGACGGCGUCCUGGUUGGCGUGGCGACGGGUGUGGGCGUCCAGCUCCACCUGCGUGCGGACCGACUGCUGGCAGGACGUGCAGAAGAACGUCUUCUUGCCCUCCAUGUGGUGCGUCUGCUUCAGGUGCACGGCGAGGCCCGACGCCCUCUUGAAGGUCUUGCCGGGCGGCGGACACAUGGUGCACACCAGCUGCCUCUGCCCCGAGUUCAUGACAUCGCUGUAGUCCUCACCCAGCUCCAGGACGCUCUUGUUGCUUACCAGCUCCUCCCUCCUCGCCUCCUCCAGCUUCCUCUUCUGCUCUAGCCUCGGCCUCAUCAGUCUGGACGGUGGCGGAUCUGCGCUCCUCUCUCGGACCACCGGCCGCUUCACAACCGGCUUCUUGGCGGGAAGCGAGCGGUCGACGGACACGGUGAACUGGUAGCUCUCUCCCUCCUCUUCGGGGUUGGAGUACUCGAUGACGUAGACGCCCUCCUCCUCCUCCUCUACCACCUCCUCCUCGGCGGGCAGCGAAUACUCCAUCUCGUAGUACUCGGUCACGUUGCUCCUCGCCUUCCCGCCCAUGUGCGACUGCUCCCCUGCGAUGUGCGUGUCGUCGAUCCUCACCACGGUGAUCUGGUCCAUGCUGCCGGCAGCCUCCCAGUUUCCGUUUCCGGCCAUGACCGAGGACGACGACGCUUUUCCUGCAGCUCCACCUCGAAGAUGUUCAGAAGAUGUCUGGAACAAGAAAAUAAAUAUAAAUGCAUGUUUUAUUACAGAAAAAAACACACAAAAAUACCCUUUAACCCUUUUGCUGUAUUCAUUGAUUGGCACCAAAAAAUAUUUUUAAAAAAAUCUAAUAAAAAAAAUCCAAAAAUUCAGCAAAAAAAUCCCCCAAAUUUCUGAAAAUUUGCAAAACCUUCAGGAAGAAAAUUCCAAUAAUUCCUUGAAAGUUUCCCUUAAAAGUUUCAUUUGAAAAAAAUCCCUCCAAUUUGGCAAGAAAAUUCUUGUAAAUAUUUUCAAAAAAUGAG